GAUGAAGAACGUAGCGAAAUGCGAUAAGUAAUGUGAAUUGCAGAAUUCAGUGAAUCAUCGAAUCUUUGAACGCAUAUUGCGCUCUCUGGUAUUCCGGAGAGCAUGCUUGUUUGAGUAUCAGUAAACACCUCAACUGCCAUAUCUUUUUUGAAAUGGGAGUUGGACUUGAGUGAUCCCAACGCUUUUCCUCACCGAAAAGUGGCGGGUUACUUGAAAUGCAGGUGCAGCUGGACUUUUCUCUGAGCUAUAAGCAUAUCUAUUUAGUCUGCCUAAAAAACAGAUUAUUACCUUUGCUGCAGCUAACAUAAAGGAGAUUAGUUCUUGUGCUGACUGAUGCAGGAUUCACAAAGACAGGCUUCGGCCGACUUUGUAAACUCGAUCUCAAAUCAAGUAAGACUACCCGCUGAACUUAAGCAUAUCAAUAAGCGGAGGA
rnacentral:misc_RNA from 1 species